CGUUACACACCGCCCGUCACACCAUGGAAGUUGGCUGCACCAGAAGCCGGUAGUCUAACCGCAAGGGGACGCCGACCACGGUGUGGUCAAUGACUGGGGUG
rnacentral:rRNA from 1 species